GCGACAAGACGUUGUUUGAAGAUCUUCAGUCCUAUUAAAAAUAAUUUCUGUGAUCAAGUCCAGCCAAACGCUAGUGACGGAUUCAGCCGGAGCUGUUCAGUAAAGACGCAAGUGAACAGUUGUUGAACUAAAAGAUGUUGUUGAAUUGAAUGACGAAAGACAGCUUGCUUAAUUCUUGUCAAACUCAUUUUAUAGGAAAAAUAGAGCUGUUUUUUUUUAAUGGAGAAGAGGAGAGAUGUGUGGUGUAGAUCACCCUAUUGUGGUGUAAAUGAGCGCACUCCACUGAGUUCCCCUUUGUCCAGCCCUGCAAUGACAGAUCAAACCUGAUCGGUGAGAGCCACUCACACAGGCAAGAGUUCCGGGCAGACUUUUCCUCCUUCUUCGGCUGACAGUUGGACCAAUCGGACGUGAGCCCACACUCCGCGCAGCGACUAACCUCGGCAGACGAUUCCCGAUAGGAAUGUCGGAUCACACAGGGCCAUUUAUGAAGUAAUUUAAUAUCUCAUGCGCAAGCAUGUUUGCCUCUGCCGUAAUACACAUACUGAUAUAACAUUAUUUUAUUGAGGCAACUGAUGGAGCGCCAAUGCUAUCAACCAUUUUUCGAACGACAAUCGAACUUUAUUAUACGACACUCUCUGUUUUGGUCACGGCACGUAUCACACAUCAUGCGGGUCGUUUGCAUUGAUAAGGCAUACAGGCAGGUAUACACACAUUUAUUACAGUAGCAGGAGCUUGUCCGAGAAAACCUUGCUGUUCUUCUUCUUUGAAGAUGGCUCAUGGUUUAGUGGUUUGGUACAAACUAAUUUACAAACGCGUGGAACGAACUCUACAAACACACCCGGC